CUCGGAUCCUCUGCAGAUGAACCAGGACUUAUCCGAAGGUACCAAGUGAACUUCUAGGAAAAGUCCAAUUCUCAGAUGCUGGAUGUCUUCCAAAAAUGAAGCAAAUUAGUAACUUAGUAGCUGAGUCAACUAAUCCUGUUAGAUGGUCAACACUGGUUUUUUUAUUUUAAUAUUUUUAAGUGGCAACUCUAGUGUGUGAGAAAAUUAAUGUGACAGCUGAAUUUGUAGAAAGCUGCUUUGACUCUCUUGGGCCCCUUCAUAAGCCCUGGAACUAAAUAAAAGUCUAGUGAAUACAGAUAAGGCUGCUCCAGUGCCCCCAAAUUUGGACCUUAUGCUCU
rnacentral:lncRNA from 1 species